GAUGAACGCUGGCGGCGUGCCUAAUACAUGCAAGUCGAGCGAACAGACGAGGAGCUUGCUCCUCUGACGUUAGCGGCGGACGGGUGAGUAACACGUGGAUAACCUACCUAUAAGACUGGGAUAACUUCGGGAAACCGGAGCUAAUACCGGAUAAUAUAUUGAACCGCAUGGUUCAAUAGUGAAAGACGGUUUUGCUGUCACUUAUAGAUGGAUCCGCGCCGCAUUAGCUAGUUGGUAAGGUAACGGCUUACCAAGGCAACGAUGCGUAGCCGACCUGAGAGGGUGAUCGGCCACACUGGAACUGAGACACGGUCCAGACUCCUACGGGAGGCAGCAGUAGGGAAUCUUCCGCAAUGGGCGAAAGCCUGACGGAGCAACGCCGCGUGAAUGAUGAAGGUCUUCGGAUCGUAAAACCCUGUUAUUAGGGAAGAACAAAUGUGUAAGUAACUAUGCACGUCUUGACGGUACCUAAUCAGAAAGCCACGGCUAACUACGUG
rnacentral:rRNA from 1 species